rnacentral:tRNA from 1 species
GCGCCUGUGGUGAAAUUGGUAGACAUACCAGACUUAGGAUCUGGCGCCGCGAGGCAUGGGGGUUCGAGUCCCUCCAGGCGCA